rnacentral:rRNA from 11 species
UCAACGAAUUUCGAGGCUUGGGGAAGACGGAUCCCUUGCAGACGACUUGUAUUUGGAACCGGGUAUUGUAAGCAGUGGAGUGACUUUUAUGUUGCGACCUGCUGAGAUUUAGC